GGGUUGUGAGGUUAAGCGACUAAGCGUACACGGUGGAUGCCCUGGCAGUCAGAGGCGAUGAAGGGCGUGCUAAUCUGCGAUAAGCGCCGGUAAGGUGAUAUGAACCGUUAUAACCGGCGAUACCCGAAUGGGGAAACCCAGUGUGAUUCGUCACACUAUCAUUAACUGAAUCCAUAGGUUAAUGAGGCGAACCGAGGGAACUGAAACAUCUAAGUACCCCGAGGAAAAGAAAUCAACCGAGAUUCCCCCAGUAGCGGCGAGCGAACGGGGAGGAGCCCAGAGCCUGAAUCAGCAUGUGUGUUAGUGGAAGCGUCUGGAAAGGCGCGCGAUACAGGGUGACAGCCCCGUACACAAAAGCGCAUGUGCUGUGAGCUCGAUGAGUAGGGCGGGACACGUGGUAUCCUGUCUGAAUAUGGGGGGACCAUCCUCCAAGGCUAAAUACUCCUGACUGACCGAUAGUGAACCAGUACCGUGAGGGAAAGGCGAAAAGAACCCCGGCGAGGGGAGUGAAAAAGAACCUGAAACCGUGUACGUACAAGCAGUGGGAGCACCCUUUGGGUGUGACUGCGUACCUUUUGUAUAAUGGGUCAGCGACUUAUAUUCUGUAGCAAGGUUAACCGAAUAGGGGAGCCGGAGGGAAACCGAGUCUUAACCGGGCGUUAAGUUGCAGGGUAUAGACCCGAAACCCGGUGAUCUAGCCAUGGGCAGGUUGAAGGUUGGGUAACACUAACUGGAGGACCGAACCGACUAAUGUUGAAAAAUUAGCGGAUGACCUGUGGCUGGGGGUGAAAGGCCAAUCAAACCGGGAGAUAGCUGGUUCUCCCCGAAAGCUAUUUAGGUAGCGCCUCGUGAAUUCAUCUCCGGGGGUAGAGCACUGUUUCGGCUAGGGGGCCAUCCCGGCUUACCAACCCGAUGCAAACUGCGAAUACCGGAGAAUGUUAUCACGGGAGACACACGGCGGGUGCUAACGUCCGUCGUGAAGAGGGAAACAACCCAGACCGCCAGCUAAGGUCCCAAAGUCAUGGUUAAGUGGGAAACGAUGUGGGAAGGCCCAGACAGCCAGGAUGUUGGCUUAGAAGCAGCCAUCAUUUAAAGAAAGCGUAAUAGCUCACUGGUCGAGUCGGCCUGCGCGGAAGAUGUAACGGGGCUAAACCAUGCACCGAAGCUGCGGCAGCGACACUGUGUGUUGUUGGGUAGGGGAGCGUUCUGUAAGCCUGUGAAGGUGUGUCG
rnacentral:rRNA from 1 species